GGCCCAGUAGCUGAAUGCAAGAGCAGUCCACCUUAUGGAUACGUGCUGCAGGUUCAAGUCCUACCUGGGCUC
rnacentral:tRNA from 1 species